UCUAAGAUGGCAGAUAGAUGCAUAGGAUUUAAGAUCCUAAAAGGAAGUAUUUCUUCUCUUGGAA
rnacentral:tRNA from 1 species